rnacentral:rRNA from 1 species
GCGCUUAGAAGUGAGAAUGCCGGUGUGAGUAGCGAAAGACGGGUGAGAAUCCCGUCCACCGAUUGACUAAGGUUUCCAGAGGAAGGCUCGUCCGCUCUGGGUUAGUCGGGUCCUAAGCUGAGGCCGACAGGCGUAGGCGAUGGAUAACAGGUUGAUAUUCCUGUACCACCUAUAAUCGUUUUAAUCGAUGGGGGGACGCAGUAGGAUAGGCGAAGCGUGCGAUUGGAUUGCACGUCUAAGCAGUAAGGCUGAGUAUUAGGCAAAUCCGGUACUCGUUAAGGCUGAGCUGUGAUGGGGAGAAGACAUUGUGUCUUCGAGUCGUUGAUUUCACACUGCCGAGAAAAGCCUCUAGAUAGAAAAUAGGUGCCCGUACCGCAAACCGACACAGGUAGUCAAGAUGAGAAUUCUAAGGUGAGCGAGCGAACUCUCGUUAAGGAACUCGGCAAAAUGACCCCGUAACUUCGGGAGAAGGGGUGCUCUUUAGGGUUAACGCCCAGAAGAGCCGCAGUGAAUAGGCCCAAGCGACUGUUUAUCAAAAACACAGGUCUCUGCUAAACCGUAAGGUGAUGUAUAGGGGCUGACGCCUGCCCGGUGCUGGAAGGUUAAGAGGAGUGGUUAGCUUCUGCGAAGCUACGAAUCGAAGCCCCAGUAAACGGCGGCCGUAACUAUAACGGUCCUAAGGUAGCGAAAUUCCUUGUCGGGUAAGUUCCGACCCGCACGAAAGGCGUAACGAUUUGGGCACUGUCUCAACGAGAGACUCGGUGAAAUCAUAGUACCUGUGAAGAUGCAGGUUACCCGCGACAGGACGGAAAGACCCCGUGGAGCUUUACUGUAGCCUGAUAUUGAAAUUCGGCACAGCUUGUACAGGAUAGGUAGGAGCCUUUGAAACGUGAGCGCUAGCUUACGUGGAGGCGCUGGUGGGAUACUACCCUAGCUGUGUUGGCUUUCUAACCCGCACCACUUAUCGUGGUGGGAGACAGUGUCAGGCGGGCAGUUUGACUGGGGCGGUCGCCUCCUAAAAGG